rnacentral:lncRNA from 1 species
GAGCUGGGCUGCUUGGAUCAGAGGUUCCAUGGUCUGAACUACUCCACUCUGGUGAAGGUUUCUUCCCAAAGCCACUCCUCAAGCUGACUUAUAUUGUACCUGAGUUGCAUGCCUGUGCUCCAAGAGCAGACGUCCUUCCGCAGGAGCAGGUCAUUAAGAGUCACUGCGUUGAUCAUGUAGAAGAGCUGUUUGAAUACCUGCAGGAUGAUCUCAGGGUCCAAGCCCUGGUCACACAUGACUGUAUGAAAGGCAUUCAUCUGGCGGAUGAUAGCUUCCAGGCGGUAUGAGUUAUCCCCAUCUGCCAUGCUGGAGGAGUGCUUCUGGGAGCAGUGGGCUUCACACCAGAUAGACCCUGAAUGCUCUCAUUUUCCAACAUGGCAGAAACUAUCAUCGGCUGUAACACACCCUCGGCAAUUUUAAAGAGCUGCUGGUAGAUCUGAAUGGAAAGGUCGCUCAGUACCUGACGGUAUUCGGUGAGGUCAAAGUUCUUAAGGCAGUGUUCGUUGUGCUUUGCAGUAUUCUGAGUCAUGAAGCCCUCAUCCCCGCUGUACCGCUUCAGACAGUGAAGAAGGUGGCAGGUGUUGGAUAACAGGAAUGACGUCAUCUCAAAGUCAUCACUGUGCUUCUUCAGGACUUUCUUAGUGCCGUUGGUGGUGGAGGUCAUCAGGGAGUGCACCUUGAGAUCAUCGUUGGUUUGGUCCGCGAGCCGGAUGCACAUGUAGAGGAUGUAGGCGGGGAUACAGGGCACUGUGUCCAACAGCAUCUGGGGCUUCAAGUCUGUCACCAGGUUGAGGAUGAGGAGGGCCUCGCCCUCUUUGUGGCACUCCAACAUGCCCUGGAAAUCCUUUUCUUUCCACUGAACUGUGACCUGCCUGUUGAACUCAUGGCGCUUCCUCUCACUCUGGGCCAACGCCUGGGCAGCUUCUUCAUGUAAAUCUUCAGUUGCUUUUAGAGCUUCCUCUCAUUCUUUUCCUCUUACUUUAUUUUUCACCACAGAACUUCCUAUCAACUAGUAUGUUGAAUAUUUUGCUUAUUAACUUUGUUUAUUGUCUUCUCCCUCGAUUAGAAUAUUAGCUACUUGAGUACAAGGAUUUGAGCCUGUUACGUUCACUGCUGAAUUUUAGGCUCCUGGAAGAUACCCAGCAUUCAAUAGAGACCACACAAUAAAUAUAUGUCAAACAAA